AAAAGGCUCCAAGGCCCUUUGGCUGUGUACGCAUGCGCAGCUAACGGCCUCGCGCGGUCGGGAGGCGCAUGCUCAGUUAACAACCCUUUCAUUCCUGCUACUUCGAUAGUGGCUGCUCUUUCCCCUCCCCCCGCUACUGCCUAGUAGCAGGCGGCCCUCGGACGCUCUGAAGCCAAGCAGAAGGGGAAACUGGGGCUCGGGAAGGACAAGUUCCCUGUCCCUCCCUUGGGAUUCAGAUAGUCUAGUUUAUUCUUACUAGAUUGUGGCCAGCUGAACUGAAGGAAGAAAACCCACAUAAAACAAGCAUUUCAUAGAGAUUUUACUUCAAUUACAAAGUUUAGUUUAAAAAAAGGUAACCAAAAAGUCAGACGGAAGCCCAGGAGGCCAUCGUUCUGUGGGAAUGCUUCAUGUUUCAAGGGUUUCUUCGUUUGCUCCACAGGUAUCCACAACGCAAAUUAAACAGCUCGUUACGGGAAAGGCUCGGACUUUGGAGUUGGCGACCCACUUGUCUGUUUCAGUAUUAUAUUCGAGGAUGUGUCCCAACCGACCCACCCCCUGGAAACCGGCCAACACGUACACAACGGCACCCACUGCUGCACAUUUCACGGUGACACCCUUCCAAGGCAUGGGUGACACCAUCUUCCAUUCAUUCAGCUUAAUGUCAUAAUAUUCCACGUUGUCCAGACCACCUUGAAAAGACAGAAACAAGAAUUUAGGAGAUCUGAUCAGAAUGAAUAACUCCAAUUUCGUAAAUAUUUCUUCCAAGGCCUUUCAACACCAAUUGUAUUGAUAAAGACAGUUCAAUUUAUGGAA